CUUACACUGACUGUAUAGAAAGAGGAGGUAGAGUAAACCUACCCCAUAUACACCUCAGCUCAGGCCCUGUGCCUGGUCUGUAUUGUGAAUGGGGGAACACAGAAUUGAGGAAGAUUUGGAUCUUUGUCCCUUUUCCUCCAGGCAGAGUAGGUGUGGAGAGGGCAAGGCUGUAGCUCUGUGGUUUUUGAUGAAGCAGCUGGGCCAGGGAGUGACUGUGGCUCUUUGCAGGGAGUGGUACGGGUAUCACUUUCCGGAGCUGGUGAAGAUCAUCAACGACAAUGCCACAUACUGCCGUCUCGCCCAGUUUAUUGGAAACCGAAGGGAACUGAAUGAGGACAAGCUGGAGAAGCUGGAGGAGCUAACAAUGGAUGGGGCCAAGGCUAAGGCUAUUCUGGAUGCCUCACGGUCCUCCAUGGGCAUGGACAUAUCUGCCAUUGACUUGAUAAACAUCGAGAGCUUCUCCAGUCGUGUGGUGUCUUUAUCUGAAUACCGCCAGAGCCUACACACUUACCUGCGCUCCAAGAUGAGCCAAGUAGCCCCCAGCCUGUCAGCCCUAAUUGGGGAAGCGGUAGGUGCACGUCUCAUCGCACAUGCUGGCAGCCUCACCAACCUGGCCAAGUAUCCAGCAUCCACAGUGCAGAUCCUUGGGGCUGAAAAGGCCCUGUUCAGGUACCAGUGAGGGCACCUGCCCACAAUCAGGUGCCACUUCUGGUGCCCACUGCUUGUUGGGGGAUCACGGUGAUGGCUGACCAGGGCUCCCUGACCUAUACAGGCCUCUGCUAUGGGGGUGAUGGCCAGUCCUGGUGUCUGAGUGAUUCCCAGGGCCCAGCAAAGGGACCAAGUCUCCAGAGCCCUGAAGACAAGGGGUAACACUCCAAAAUAUGGACUCAUUUUCCACUCCACCUUCAUUGGCCGAGCAGCUGCCAAGAACAAAGGCCGCAUCUCCCGAUACCUGGCAAACAAAUGCAGUAUUGCCUCACGAAUCGAUUGCUUCUCUG
rnacentral:sRNA from 1 species